UAGCCUAAUGGUUAAGGCUAUGGAUCUCCAAUCCGGAGACGGCGGGCUCGAUUCCCGU
rfam:Aedes albopictus isolate Foshan contig62305, whole genome shotgun sequence.